AUUGAACGCUGGCGGCAGGCCUAACACAUGCAAGUCGAGCGGAUGAGUGGAGCUUGCUCCAUGAUUCAGCGGCGGACGGGUGAGUAAUGCCUAGGAAUCUGCCUGGUAGUGGGGGACAAACGUUUCGAAAGGAACGCUAAUACCGCAUACGUCCUACGGGAGAAAGUGGGGAUCUUCGGACCUCACGCUAUCAGAUGAGCCUAGGUCGGAUUAGCUAGUUGGUGAGGUAAAGGCUCACCAAGGCGACGAUCCGUAACUGGUCUGAGAGGAUGAUCAGUCACACUGGAACUGAGACACGGUCCAGACUCCUACGGGAGGCAGCAGUGGGGAAUAUUGGACAAUGGGCGAAAGCCUGAUCCAGCCAUGCCGCGUGUGUGAAGAAGGUCUUCGGAUUGUAAAGCACUUUAA
rnacentral:rRNA from 1 species